rnacentral:rRNA from 1 species
UACGUAGGGUGCAAGCGUUGUCCGGAAUUAUUGGGCGUAAAGAGCUCGUAGGCGGUCUGUCGCGUCGGAUGUGAAAACCCAGGGCUCAACCCUGGGCCUGCAUUCGAUACGGGCAGACUAGAAUUCGGUAGGGGAGUCUGGAAUUCCUGGUGUAGCGGUGAAAUGCGCAGAUAUCAGGAGGAACACCAGUGCGAAGGCGGCGAUCUGGGAAGAUACUGACGCUGAGGUGCGAAAAGCGUGGGGAGCAAACAGG